UGGAAGGACUCAAAUCAUGUGUCAGGA
rnacentral:piRNA from 1 species